rnacentral:other from 1 species
UGAAGCCUGUGAUGCUCGUCAUCUUUAAUAUGUCCAACCUACAAGAUAUAUAGGGAAUCCAACGCUAUGUAAGUUGUCGCGACACCAUCGAGUGGAUGACAAAAACCAUACUAGGAUGCCCACCUGCGAGGAGCGGGUUUGGACAUAGAAAGAAACGGCAUUCUGGACUUUCC